UACGAAGGGGGCUAGCGUUGCUCGGAAUCACUGGGCGUAAAGGGUGCGUAGGCGGGUCUUUAAGUCAGGGGUGAAAUCCUGGAGCUCAACUCCAGAACUGCCUUUGAUACUGAAGAUCUUGAGUUCGGGAGAGGUGAGUGGAACUGCGAGUGUAGAGGUGAAAUUCGUAGAUAUUCGCAAGAACACCAGUGGCGAAGGCGGCUCACUGGCCCGAUACUGACGCUGAGGCGCGAAAGCGUGGGGAGCGAACAGG
rnacentral:rRNA from 1 species